rnacentral:lncRNA from 1 species
AAUGCGUGCACGGGAUCGAACUUGUUCCAUCACCGAAUCUCAUGGCUCUCAGUGAGGAAGAUCGGAAGAAAUGGGUUGAGCUUACCGGAAGGGGUUUAAACUUCACGAUUCCACCCGAAGCUAGUGAUUUUAGUUCAUGGAGAAACCUCCCGAACACUGAUUUUGAGCUCGAGAGACCUCCGAUAAUAAAGAGCGUACUCAAUUUAUCUACUCAAUCAUCGAGCCAUAUGGACAGUGAUGGCACUGACUUAUCACUUGUGAGCAACAAAAGGAGGAAAGACGAUGAUUGCUAUUUGCCGGUCAUUCCUCCAUCCGACCGAAUACCAGACAUGGAAAUUCAUCCUAGUGAACCUCACUGGUUAAACGACUUCAGUGGGGUAAUGAAAAACGCUUACGGUCCCGUUACUGCUGCGAAAGCCAUCUACGAGGACAAAGCCGGUUACUUGAUCAUUAUCAGCUUGCCUUUUGUUGAUCUUCAAAGGGUAAAGGUCUCAUGGAGGAACACACUCACUCAUGGUAUUAUAAAACUAUCUUGUGUGAGCACAACGGGUAUGCCGUUCAUCAAACGACACAACCGGACUUUCAAGCUUACGGAUCCCGCUCCCGAGCAUUGCCCUCCCGGCGAAUUCGUUAGAGAAAUCCCAUUGUCAACUCGAAUCCCCGAAGACGCCGACAUAGAAGCAUAUCACGACGGGCCGGGUUCUGUUCUCGAGAUUAUGGUUCCGAAACUACGGAUGGUACCCGAAGAACAUGAAAUCCGGGUUUGUCUUCGGCCUAAACAUGUAGGGAAUGAUCUCCUGUUGACAUGAAUUAUAAAAGGGUAGUUGGUAUGGUUGGUGCUGCAUUGUUUUUACUGACCUUUGUACGAUACAAUGUAAUCUAUGAAAACAAAAAUAUGGGUCUUCCGUUUUAUACUUUUACCAUUUUUGACUGUAAUUAGAAUUUGAUUUUUCGGACAUUUGAUUAUAUUAAACUUGUGUUUUGUAGUUUCAGACAUUUAUUGAAUUUUAAUGUAGAGGUAGAAAUUGUUGAAUUACUUGGUUGGUCCUUGUAUUAUAGAUCAAAGAACAAAUUAGUCCUUUUAGUGCAAAAAUAAUAUCGAACAGCAAAUUAAUUCCUCUAUUAUAAAAUAGAUAAUUUACUCUCCUUGCAUAAAGGGAUAAAGUAACAUUUAGUCUUUGAACUUGUUAAUUUUUCUCAAUUUAACCUGUAAAAAGUUUUUUGGUCGCACAUAUUUAAUUAGGACAAAAGAAAAAGUGAAGCAUUAAAUUAAACAUUGAAAUUAAAUUUCAAAUAUUUAAUUUUGAUUAAAAAAAUUUAAGUAUCAAACUAAAAAAAUUUAGGUAUCAAAAAAUAUCAUUGGACACGUUAUUCGAAUAAAAAAUGCACGUAUUUAAUUAGGACAAAAGAAAAAAGUAAAACACUAAAUUGAACAUUGAAACUAAAUUUUAGAUAUUUAAUUUUGACUAAGAAAAACUUUUAAGUAUCAAACUAAAAAAACUUAUGUACCAAAGUGAGCAUUAAAGCAAAACUUAAAUACGAAAUUAAACAUUGAAACUAAACUCAAGUUCCAAAUAGUAUAUUAACCCAACUAAAAACUAAGAACACACAACAUCGUUAAAAAAUAAUUAUGAGUAAAUUGCACUCGAGAUCACUAAAUUAUUAAUAAGUUUAUGUUUUAGUCACUAAAGCUUUAAAAAGUUUCAAAUUAAUCACUGAACUAUUAAAAAGUUUUCAUUUAAGUAAUUGGACUAUUCAAAAUUUUUUAUUUAAGUCGCCAAGCUAUUAAGUUUUUUUUUUUUAAUUUAACUAGCGAGCUCCAAGCAAUGAUUCGAUGAUCGAUACGGUGGAGUAAAACCAAUUAGUGAGAAGAAUAACAUACUUAGAUCCAAUUUGAUUUGGCAGUUAGCCGAAGAUUAGAGAAGAAAGUUAUUUAGAUUUUAGUUUCCAAAUUCGUGACAUUGAAAGCUCUUUUAUAAAAAAAACAAAAUUGUAGAAGAGAAAGAAGAAAAAACUUUCAAUUAGUGUAAACAAUGCGAAUAGAGAAAGUGAUACGAUAACAAUUUUAACAGCCCAACAAAUUAAAUAAAAACUUUCGAAUAAUUCAAUAAACAAUUUAUAACUUUUUGAAGUUGACUAAAUUUAGUGACCGCUAGAUGUAUUUUACCGAUAAACAAAACGGUGGAGGAUUGAGAAAAGUGGCGCAAAGGAAAAGUGCACCGUUACCGUUAAGUAACGGCGAUAAUCAAUAUGGGUGAUAUCCAGUGUAGGCUUUUACUAACGAUAUAAACCUCUGUAUAAUGAGACGGUGGCUUACCUUUCAAUUAUCAUCUCUCACUUUUUUUAUUUUCAUUUUCCUCUGUUUUCUCUUUACUGGCCACAAAACAAAGCAAGUAAAUGGAAGAAACAGAAGGGGGGGAAAAGCAUAUAAACGUAUCAUAAUAUAAAAAAGAAACUAAAAUUUAAAAAAAAUAGUUGAAGAGAUAAAGGAAAGGGAAAAAAAAUGGUGGGUAAGGUUGGGGAUGAUGAUGAUUUAGUGGAGCUGAGCAUUAUAAUCGUUCAUGAAGGUCCUUCUUCAUCUCGAUUCCUCGAUGCUUAUCCCAUAAGGUAACCUUUAAAGAUCCCUUCAUUUCUCUUCUAGAAAAUUUGAAAUUUCUCUCUCUCUUUUUUUUUUUUUUAAUUUUGCUUUGUCAAAGUUUGGUCUUCUUUUUUUUUUAAUUCUUAAGAUGUAAUUUUUUUUAUGUAAAGCAAAAAUAAGAAUUGGGUUUUUUUUUUGUUUUUUUAUUUAUGGAAUUUAUGCUUUUGAUUCAGUUUCUGUAGAUUUUAGGGUUCUUUCUUUAGCAGCUUUUUAGGGGAAAUUUAUUGUGUUAGAAUUUAGGGUCAAAUUAUUUAUGUUUUACAAUUUGUUUGUUAUAUUGUUAAUAAGUUGGGGUUUAUUGAAUUUGAUUUUUAAAAAAAAUAAGUUGUUGAUUUCUGUGGGUUUUUCUGGGGAUUGUUGUUUUAUGUUUUUUUAAUAAAAUUCUAGGGUUUUGAUUGAGGGGAAAAUCAUGUGGUGAUUGAUAAUUUAUUGAAUUUUUUGGGGGGGUUUUUGGGGUAAAUGGAAAAAUUCAAUCCACAAGCAGCAAUUAUUACAAUCUCCAAUUGCAUAAGCUGAAAUGGGAGCUUCUCUCCUUACAACUUUCUCAAUGGAGAAUCAUCAUCCUUCAACUCUUUUAUCUAUGGAUUCGAGCGCUCACGACGAGUUUGAUUUAGACAAGAAUCGGCAAUCUAUUCUGUCCCGGCCACCGGAUAUCAAUUUGCCAUUAUCUGCCGAGCGUAGCCCUCCACCACAGCAGCCAUGGAACUCCGAUCAGUGCGAUAUUCUAGAUGUUGGGCUGUGUUCACAAGCUUAUGAAACUGAGAGCUACCUUCCAGUCUCGAAAGCCGGACGGAAAUGCACUAAGCGGGUAGAUAGUAUAUGGGGUGCUUGGUUGUUCUUUAGCUUUUACUUCAAACCCGCUUUGAAAGAGAAAUCCAAGGCUAAGAUCGUUCGAGAUAGCAAUGGUGUUUCUGGUUUCGAUAAAUCGGAUCUUAAGUUGGAUGUUUUCAUGGUUCAACACGACAUGGAGAAUAUGUAUAUGUGGGUUUUCAAGGAGAAGCCCGAGAAUGCAUUAGGUAAAAUGCAACUUCGAAGCUACAUGAAUGGGCAUUCUCGCCAAGGGGAACGUCCUUUUCCUUUUAGUGUCGAUAAGGGAUUUAUCCGUUCCCAUAGGAUGCAACGGAAGCAUUAUAGAGGAUUGUCAAACCCUCAGUGUGUGCACGGGAUCGAACUUGUUCCAUCACCGAAUCUCAUGGCUCUCAGUGAAGAAGAUCGGAAGAAAUGGAUUGAGCUUACCGGAAGGGAUUUAAACUUCACGAUUCCACCCGAAGCUAGUGAUUUUAGUUCAUGGAGAAACCUCCCAAACACUGAUUUUGAGCUCGAGAGACCUCAGAUAAUAAAGAACAUACCACAUUCUCACUCGAGGAAACUGCUCAACGGGUCUGGACUCAAUUUAUCUACUCAAUCAUCAAGCCAUACGUACGGUGAUGGCACAGACUUAUCACUUGUGAGCAACAAGAGGAGGAAAGACGAUGAUUGCUUUUUGCCUGUCAUUUCUCCUCCUGACCGAAUCCCGGACAUGGAAAUUCAUCCUAGUGAACCACACUGGUUAAACGACUUCAGCGGGGUAAUGAAAAGCACUUACGGUCCUGUUACUGCUGCGAAAGCCAUCUAUGAGGACGAAGCCGGUUACUUGAUCAUUAUCAGCUUGCCUUUUGUUGAUCUUCAAAGGGUAAAGGUCUCAUGGAGGAACACACUCACUCAUGGUAUUAUAAAACUAUCUUGUUUGAGCACAUCGGGUAUGCCGUUCAUCAAACGACACAACCGGACUUUCAAGCUUACGGAUCCCGCUCCCGAGCAUUGCCCUCCCGGCGAAUUCGUUAGAGAAAUCCCAUUGUCAACUCGAAUCCCCGAAGACGCCGACAUAGAAGCAUAUCACGACGGGCCGGGUUCUGUUCUCGAGAUUAUGGUUCCGAAACUACGGAUGGUACCCGAAGAACAUGAAAUCCGGGUUUGUCUUCGGCCUAAACAUGUGGGGAAUGAUCUCAUGUUGACAUGAAUUAUAAAAGGGUAGUAACUAUGGUUGGUGCUGCAUUGUUUUUACUGACUUUUGUACCAUACAAUGUAAUCUAUGAAAACAAAAAUAUGGGUCCUACAUUUUAUUUUUUUACCAUUUUUGCCCCACUAAUUCAUAUGUUUCUUUGUAGUGGUCCUUGUUUGACUGUAAUUAGAAUUUGAUUUUUCAGACAUAUUUUAUUAUAUUUAGUCAUUAGUAAAAGAUAUAUUAAACUUAUUUAUUGAAUUUUAAUGAAAAGGUAGAAAUUGUUGAAUUACUUGGUGAGUCCUUUUAUUAACACGUAAAUUGUUUUUUGGUCCACAAUUUUUAUCCUAUUUUUGGCUCAAGUGCUUUGAUAUUGUACCAAAUUAUACAUAAAAAAUUAUAUUUUCUUAGAAUAAUUAAGUGAUUAUGUAUUAUAAUUUUAGAGUGUCAUAUCGUCGUAAAGAUCAAAAUUGAGAAAAAAAAUUAAUGAUAUUCAAGUCAUUAGAAAAAUAUAAACCAUUAACGUUUCAAGAGCUUAAAAUAAUGUUGCUGGUCAUAUGGCUAAAACAGUUUCAAGUGGAUUGCGUAAUGUGCAACUGUUUUGGGAGUUUUUAGAUUCAGUAUGGACACUACCGAUAGCUGAGUGUAAUACUGUUUUUCUACAUUGAUAACACUUUAAAAUUAUAAUUAUUUUAUAUUUUUUUUCUUUAAAAAAAUAAAUUAAAUCUGAACAAAACUCACCUACUAUUUAAACAUAGUCAAACUCAAGCACAAAUAUUUAAAAUUUGAGACCUAGAGCUUAUCCUUUUAUCAAUUAUUUCAAAGGUUCAUUGUCAUAAUUAAUUUAAUCCUAAAUCAAUGACACAAGACCAAGUCCAACUGCCACCUAAUGUGAUGGAAAAGGGCAAAAUUACUGUUUAAGACCAAUGAAAACAUACAAAGUGGUGACACCUAACAACCUUUUAUUUUAAAUAGGUAUAAUUUUUUUUUGGCCCUCCAACUUUAUAAAAAGAGUUAUUUUAACCUUCUAUUUAAUUUUUUUAUCUCUUUUAACCCUUGAACUUAUAUUUUUUUUAUCAAAUCACCCCAGAUGGCUGGAAAAGUCAAUGUUUGUUAACCUUGCUGACAUAGCAUGCACGUGGAUUGUUGUGUAGAUGACAUGUUAGCAUUUAAUUAAUUUUUUUUAUAAUUGCUUAUAUAUUUUAAAUAAUUUUAAUGGUUUUCAAUUUUUAUAUUUUCUUGAGUUUUUAAAAUUUUAAAAAAAAUCAUUUAAAUGUUGAUGUGUCAUCCACGUGUAUGGCACUUCAGUUAAAAAAAUAUUAAUUUUUACAUCUAUUUUAAAAUAAUUUGAUAAAAAAAGUAGAAAAUUAAAUAGAUGACUAAAAUAAUAUUAUUUAUAACGUUAAAGGACCAAAGAAGUCAUUAUACUUUUUAUAUAAUAUAGAAAGAAAAGUAUAAAUGAUAGAUAAUUUGGGUGAAAAGAGAUACUAAAAAUAAACAAGCUAAGGUAUCUAUGGUGAGUGGGUGGGGAAUUAGUCCACAUUCUAUGUAUAGUUUUAGGUGAAUUGAUGAUACAGCCAAUGGCUAAUGACUAGUAGGAAUUUGAGGGCAAAUUCCUGUUGGUUUAAAAAACUAAGGUCGAGCAUGGCGUCUCUUUAGCUUAGCUUAUCUUAAAUCGACACUUUUGGUAGAAUUUAACGCGAGCAGGAUAGUUGGACGGGAUAGAAUUUUUUCUCUUUCUUCAUUGAUUUAUAUUUAAAUUUAUUGUCUCGGGUUUUAUUUAAAGAUAAGGUCAUGUUUAAUCUAUGAAUUUGAUAAUUUUUUUUUUAUUUUGAUCUCUAAGUUUUUUUGGGUUCACGUUAGUUCUUGAAUUUGAUAAGUUUUAUAUGUUUUAGCCCGUUUGAUUAUGUAAUAUUUCAAGAUUGUAUCACAUCAUAACUUUUUUUAAUGUGAUGAUACGACACAAUAUCAUAGCACCACGUCAGCAUAAUAAUUAAAACUAGAAAAGGUUGUCGAGUUCCAAAACUAAGGGACGCUCAAUGUCAUUAAACUAUUAGUAAGUUUAUAUUUUGGCUACUUAGUUCCAAUCGACAAUUCGACGAUCAAUACUCAUUACAAGUAAAAGGACAUACAUUAGAUUCAAGUCAAAUGACGGUCUGUGUCGAAUAUUGAAAAAAAAAGUUGUUUGAGUGUGAUAACAGAUUCUUGACAUUUAAAGUUGUUUCAUGAAAAAAAUAAACUAUAAAAAAAUAAAGGAAAUGAGAGUUUUCAAUCGAUGAUAUGAAUAAAGGAGACCAUACAUUAAUGACUUAAAUGAAAUAUCUAAAACUCGGCUGGGAUUAAACCGGACAGUUGAUGCUGAAGUGUGGCCAUAAGGUAACGUAUGGCAUCUAACAAAGUAGUAUACUUUUUUAUCAUUUAACGCGCUUUUUUUUUUUGGGGGGGAUCAUAACCGUGUUGUAGGUAUCAUCUUAUCUAUAUGUCCCAUUUGUCAAAGCUAAUAGUUAAUUUUUUAUUAGGAUUUAUUGUUAUAUUUUAAUUUUAUUGUUUUUCAGUCCUUAUACUUUUUUAAUUGUGAAUUUUUAGUUUUGGCUUAAAGUUUUUAAAAAGUAGGGGUGAAACCAAAAAAAAUAAAAUAGGGGUGGAACUGAAUUAUAAUUUUUUUGUGAGGUCACAAUGUAAUUUUAUUAUGUAUUAAUUUAUAAUUUCAUCAUUUUUAAGGGACUAAACAUAAUAUUUUUUUCAUAUUUUGAGACGCCGAAGUGAAAUUUUACCAUGAUUAACUUGAAAUUUUAUUAUUUCUAGUGAGACUGAAUUGGAAUUUUUCAUUUUCAGGGAGGGGCUAAAGCCCCUACCAACCCCCUCCCCCCCGUCACCUCUUCUAACAACGAUCAAUUUGGAGAACAAAAGUUAAAUCUACAAUUUAUGCAUAGUACAAAACUAGCAGAAGAAUUUAACCUAGUGGAUUGAACUACUACCAUUUGAAAUAGGACUGAAAUUUAAAAUUUUGAAAAACAUAAGGACUAAUAAUAAAAUUUACCCCUUGUUUGGCAAGAAAAAACACACACGCAUACGAAGUCUAUGGCUCAAACAGGUUCUUAUCUAUGUCGGUUAUAGUUAGAGAUAAAAAUAUUUGUAUUUUUUAGGGGUUAAAUACCCAAGAGGUCUCUAUAUUAUAGUGACUGAAUCAAUUUAGUCUCUAUACUAUUGAAAAAAUAUCAAAUAAGUCCAAAUUGUAAUGGAGGUAACAUUUAUUUUAUAAAAAACUUUAAAAAAUAGUAAUUCUGUCAAACAUUAAAUGAUAUUUUUAAAAAUAGUAAAUAUAAAUUCUAUUCCAGUUUGGUCUUAAUUCUUUUCAGUAUUAUGGAGAUUAAAUUGAUCUAUUUAAUAAUAAAGGGACUAAUUUGAUCAGAUUCCUACAAUAGAGAGACCUCUUAAGUAUAUUAACCAUUAUUUAUGUGUAAAAUCAUUGCGUGCCGACACAAAGUGAUAAGAAAGAGUGAAGAAAAGAUGGAUUGACUUGUAAAGUGGGUUGGACCACUUGUCUCCCUUUGAAUCAUCAUUGCUUACGAAUUUUUGAUAAGGAGCAUUUACUAUCAAUCGCAUUAGAAUAUGUUUGAAUAAAAUAUUAAAUUUAUACCUAAAUUUUAGUUCAUUUGAGUUUUUUUUGUGUGUCUUUUAGAUUAUGUGAUCUAUAUAUUUAUACGAUAAGGUAUUGUUCAUCGAUAAGAUAGAUUAGGUAGGCUUUAUGCAUGUAAACACGUUUACUGCUCUUACGUGCAUUCAUAGUUCCAAGCUCAUGAAAAUGCAACCUCGUAGUACCGAACCUCAUAAUACAGAGACCAAGCCUGAUACAUCAACCUGCACACUUACUCCUCGAGCUUAGUACUUGGGUCAAGCCUGCGAGCUCAUUAGGGUCUGGUCGAGGCCCAAACUUGAGAUGGGUUGAUUUGAUACAUUAAUUUUAAUUUGGUAUAGGUAUAUACACAAAAUUUGAAACGUGGUUCAUAUGUUUAUGUAAAAUUUUUAUUUCGAUUCAAUUGUACACAUUUAAAGAAAUAAAUACAUAUAUUUAUUUUCAUACCAGAUUAAUAUAAUUAUUUGUGUAUAUUUUAUAUCAACAUAAAAUGGUGCUAAUUCAAUAAUAUUGUUAGUUAUUUGCGAAAAUAAAUAAAAUCAUGCAAAAUCAAGGUCCAUGUAUGACAUUGCACAUUGAAUCAAAGUUCAUGUAUAAUUUUAAUAUUUAUCUCAUUUUUCAUGUGUUUAUUUUUAAAAAAUUUAUUUUAUUAAAAUAGUGUGAAGAUUAAAAUUAAUUAAAUUAUUAUACAAAGAUUAAAUUUGUAGCUAAUAUAUGGUAAUUUGGAUUAAUUCAAAUUUAUUAUUCGCAAAAGUAAAGCAAAUCCAUAUAUAUAAUUGAAAUAUAUCGGUUUAUAUUCAUAUUCAUUGCGAAUUCUUUACGAAUAAUAAUAAUUAAAGUUGUUAUAGAUUAUGAGAGAUGAUUUAUAAAACUGAAAUAUUAUGUCAUUUGUAUUCCUUUUCAAUAAGAGCAUGCCACUUCAGCAUUUUCAUCCUAAAUUUCAAUAUAUCAUAUUAGAUUUAAGUUAUUUUUUUAGGAUGAAAACACUGAAAUGGCAUGCGGUUAUUAAAAAGGGAUAUCCCAAUUUCAUAUAAUCUUUUCAACUAGAUUAUUGAGUUUUUAGUUAAUGAUUUAAAAUGCUUCUUGAAAUGGAUAUCCAAUGGGCUUCAUUUUUGCUCUUCUUGAUGAAAUUGUAGAUUUUGUUUAGGGUUAUUAAAAUGAACGUUUAGGGUUUUUUUUGCUGAGGUUGGGUGUGAUGGUUCUUGAAAACAAACUGGGGUGAUUGUUUAGGCUUUUGAAAUUAGAUAGUUAGAGUUAGGCUUUCGGGAUUGGGUAUUUGGAAUUUGGGUUCUUCAAUGAAAUUCAAUUGGGUUUUUCAAUCUGGGUAUUUUGAUUUGGGUUUUGGGUAAUUUUAAAUUUUAUUUUUAAAUUGGUUAAAUUAGUUAAAUAUGUCAAAAAAAAAUAUUGAUUGGUAAAAUAGAUCAAUUUUGUUGAAAUUUAAGGAAAUAUGUCGUUUUUGGAGAGAGUGUGAAAGUGCACCCACAGAGGCGUAGCUAAGGAGCUGGCAAGGGCCCGACCCCCCUAAAAUGAAAAAUUAUUAUUUAGACUCUUUAAAAAUUUUAAAAUUUUAAAUUAGUAGAGGUAAAAUUGCACUUUAGCCCCCUUAAAAUUAUAAAAAUUUGAUUUAAUUCUUUAAAAAUUAUAAAGAUAUAAACUAUAAAAAGUUAAAAUUUCAUUCGGCCCCCCUAAAUAAUUGUUCUGGCUUCACCCCUGCGCACCCAACUUUUCCGUUGACAUGUAAGAGAAAGUGCACACAACUAUGUGUGUUUUUCGAUAAUUACAAAUAAAGCACGUCCAAUUGGAGAAAAGAUUGUAUAAAACUAUAAUUUCACGUCAUAUCUAUCUCUUUCUAAUAAGAGAAUGAUAAAUCAGAUUUUUCCUCAUGAUUUUCAGUCUUUUCUUCCUGAAAAAAUUUAAAUCUAACUAAAAAUGCUAAAAAUCAGGAGAAAAAAGCUGAUUUGUCAUUCUCCUAUUAGAAAGUGGUAGGGAUGACGCGAAACCAUAGUUUCAUACAAUCCCUUCUCUGUUGACUGGGCACAGUUUCACACUACCUGUGCAAAAAACACGUCCAGCUCUUUCUCAAAAAAUGACAUAUUUUUCUAAAUUAAAAAAAAUGAUCUAUUUAGCUAAUUAAUUUUUUUCCGACCUAUUGAGCUAAUUUAACCGUUUAAAUUAAGAAUUUAUUUUUUAAAUUUUAUUUUUAAUUCUAAUAAAUUGACUUUUGUCUUUUUUGAGUGCAUUGCACUUUCAAAAAAUCUACUUUUUUGGAGAUUGGAUCGACAAAACCAAGUAAGAGAACUAAUCUUUAUCUCUCAAAAUUUAAUUUUUGUCUAUGUGUGUGUAUAUAUAGAUAUUAUUCCAUGUUGAUUGUCCGAGAGAAGAUGGCAAAAUGGUAUUGUACAUUGAUAUUAUAAUGCUAUUGCUAUUUAUAUAUAAUGUUAUUAUAUAUUCUAUUUAUACAAUGUUAUUACUAAUUGUUAUUUAUAUGUACUUCUAUAUAUGAUAUUGGUCGUGUAUAUGCUAUUUCGAAAAUAUACUAUUUAGUAUUUGGUUGUAAUAUGUUACUAAAAUUUGAGUUUUUUAGUUUCUGGUUUUACAGAGUAACGUAAGAAACUUUUUUUAUUAUCAAAAUGGAUCCAAAGACCACUACCUCAAUAUGACAAGCAUCAGCAACUAUAAGUCUAUGAAUAUCGCUUGGAUGCUUCAUGUUAAAAGAAAAGGUAUAAUGUUUAUCAACAAAAAGUUUACAAAGGUCAUCGGCCACCCUAUUAUUCAAACGAGCGGCCCACUUAAUCAUAGACUUGAUGGAAGAAUCCAAUAAAUCGAAAAUAUUCUUCAAUCGAAAUCCAAAAAUCGAGAUAUCCCUUCAAUAUUAUUGUUACGCGCCCAAAUAAUACCUUCUCUCAAUACCUCCGCCCCAGCCCACUGAAUAUCCAUUUUAUAAUCCAGCUAAACUACACGACCAAGAAACUUAUAUACAUGCAUAUGGGGGUAAUUUGGAAACAAACCCCAAGUUAGCUUAUGUAGGUGACCAAGUACACGAGGUAGAUAGAGACCUUAAUUACUUAUCUCAUUCACUGUUGUGUGAUUUGGUUGAUGGGGUUGGAUAUACUUGAGUCAAGUAUUUUUGAUAUUGUGAAUCUGGUUUGGAAUGUAAUGAAGAUGUUAGGGUAUUAUAUGAUCAUGAUGUAUAUGUGACAAUGAUGAAACACUUUCAAAAUGAUGUUAGGUUACAUGGGAUUUGUGAACAAUUAGAGGGACAAAUUUAAUGAGAGCAACAUAUUAGAUAUUAUAAUUAUAAAAAUUAUUAAACUCAAUUGAAAUAUUUACCAAUAACCUAGAAUGGUGAGAAACCAACUCAAGUGAAAUACAUAUCAGAUUAAUUUAAGCAUUUAAUGAUAAUAACAAGAUAUUAGGUAAUCUUCACUCUAAAGUAAACAUUACUUCUUUGAAUUUGGAACAUCUAAAAAACUCUCCAUUUGCUCCAAGAAAUAUUUGACAGUAAAUUGCACCAGUUUCAAACGAUAUACUUGGAUUUUCUACCGUGUUCAUUUAUAGAUUUUGACAAAUAAAUUUAUGAAUUUUACAAUAUGAAUUGACAGAGAUGAUGAUGAUGAGAAAAUUUAUUUCAAGAGCUUUGCUCUCUAAGAUCAAUCUAGAGAGUAACAAUUUUAAGACCCAUUUUUAAAUUAUUUUAAUAAAAUAUAUUAAAAAUGUUAUAUGGUUUAUUAAAAUAAAAUAUAUUUGCAUCUAAAUAAUAAAUGCUAUUAAAAAGAAAAAUAAUUAGUCUCAUAUGUAUAAAGGAUUAAAAGUCGAUCUCAUUAAGAGACAAGUCUAAAAACCAAUAUAAAAAUAAAUUACCCGAGUUCAAGCAAUAAACAGUAUUUUAAGCGAAUCUAAUUUAAAAUAGAGCCUUGACAAAUUGCUUAGUCAACUUCUUCAAUCUUAGGGCCAGCACCGCUUCCACCAGACGGAGGAGCAUCCUCAUCCAUACUACCACCCAUAUCACCACCAGCACCUUGGUACAUUUUAGCAAUGAUAGGGUUACAAACACUCUCCAAUUCCUUCAUUUUAUCUUCAAAUUCAUCAGCUUCAGCCAACUGGUUACUAUCCAACCAUUGAAUAGCUUCUUCAAUAGCAUCUUCAAUCUUUUUCUUAUCAUCCGGUGAGAGCUUUGAACCAAUCUUUUCAUCUUUCACUGUGUUUCUCAUGUUGUAAGCGUAAUUCUCCAAUGCGUUCUUUGAUUCAACUUUCUUCUUGUGUUCUUCGUCUUCAGAUUUGUAUUUCUCAGCUUCUUGAACCAUCUUUUCGAUCUCUUCUUUCGAAAGUCUUCCUUUAUCGUUCGAGAUGGUGAUUUUGUUCUUUUGACCGGUUGUUUUGUCUUCGGCUGAAACGUUUAAGAUGCCGUUGGCGUCAAUAUCGAAGCACACAGUAAUUUGCGGUACACCUCGUGGAGCCGGUGGGAUGCCGGAGAGUUCGAAUUUGCCUAAUAAGUUGUUAUCUCUUGUUCUUGUUCGUUCACCUUCGUAAACUUGGAUUAAUACACCGGGUUGGUUAUCGGAGUAUGUUGAAAAGACCUGUUCUUUCUUGGUGGGGAUGGUAGUGUUUCUUGGGAUCAAAACAGUCAUCACACCGCCGGCGGUUUCUAAUCCGAGGGAUAACGGGGUGACAUCUAAAAGCAGGAGGUCUUGUACCUUUUCAUUGCCUUCGCCGCUUAAGAUUGCGGCUUGGACUGCGGCACCGUACGCGACAGCUUCGUCAGGGUUGAUGCUUUUGCAAAGCUCUUUACCAUUGAAGAAAUCCUGCAAUAGUUGUUGAACUUUGGGAAUUCUAGUGGAACCACCAACGAGGACGACAUCAUGGACACUGCUCUUGUCCAUCUUGGCAUCCCUUAAGCAUUUCUCAACUGGUUCCAUACACUUUCGGAAUAGAUCCAUGUUGAGUUCCUCAAAUCUGGCUCGGGUUAUGGUUGAGUAAAAGUCGAUACCUUCGUAUAACGAAUCUAUUUCAAUGGUGGUUUGAGCGGUGGACGAAAGAGUUCUUUUCGCCCUCUCGCAAGAAGUCCUCAACCUUCUAAGGGCUCUAGGGUUACCACUAAUGUCUUUCUUGUUCUUUCUCUUGAACUCUUGCACGAAAUGGUUCACCAUUCGGUUAUCGAAAUCUUCGCCUCCAAGGUGAGUGUCUCCGGCAGUGGCCUUCACUUCAAAGAUACCUUCUUCAAUGGUGAGAAGGGAGACAUCAAAAGUACCGCCACCGAGAUCAAAGAUCAAGACAUUCUUUUCACCGACACUGGUUGCCUUCUUGUCAAGACCGUAAGCAAUGGCUGCAGCUGUUGGUUCAUUGAUGAUUCGCAUGACGUUGAGUCCAGCAAUGACACCAGCAUCUUUUGUCGCUUGACGCUGAGAAUCAUUGAAGUAUGCAGGGACGGUAACCACGGCAUUCUUAACUGUAAAACCAAGGUAAGCCUCAGCGAUUUCACGCAUCUUAAUGAGGACCAUAGAAGAGAUUUCCUCAGCAGCAAAUUGCUUCUCCUCGCCCUUGUAAUUGACGACAAUCAUUGGUUUGUCACCAGGUCCUGCUAUGACCUUGAAUGGCCACAAUUUGAUAUCACUUUGAACUGAAGAAUCAGUGAAUCUACGACCAAUCAACCUCUUAGCAUCUGUAGAUGAUGAAGCGCAUUAGUUUACAUUAAAUAAAAACAAUGAACAAUACAACAAGAAAAACAAGAGACUAAGCACAAUAUUUUAAUCCAUAAACUAUAUGAUGAUAUGAAUAAGCAUCAAAAACACAAAACAUUUUGAUCAUGUUAUUUAAACUGAGUGUGAGUGAAAACAUUGAUUACUGAUAUUUGAAGUUCACGUUCUUGUAUUUAUAUUAACGCGAAUACUUUUAAUAAAAUGAAGAGUCAAAACAUACAUAAUAUAACUAGUGAAACUAGUUACGGUAUAACGUUGAUUAUACUAGUUCAUAUUAUAGUUAUCAUAAUUAAAAACUAUAAUCUAAUGCAAUUUCAUACAUGUCAUGCAAAAAUAAUGAUACCAUAAAACUAGAUUAUGAAUUAGAACCAAUAAGCAUUGACCAUUAACACUUAUCAGCUCUGUUUUAAGACUUUUAAGAGCAGAAGGUCAAAUAAAACUAAGACUAAAGCAAAAACCUACGCAAUAACAACUCUAAUAAACAAGCCAAAGUUUAAUUCAACAAAUAGCUAACAAUUCACCUAAAUAUUCAAGAAACAGUACGAUUCAGCUUUGAACUAGGAUCUAAAAACAAGCUAAGGUUGUUCUCCCUACGUAAAUCUUGGAAAACUUAGCUCGUAAACUUCAGAUCUGUAUUUUUUUGUAAUUCAUCAAAUAGCUACAGCUCACAUAAGGAUACAAAAAACAGUACGAUUCAGCUUCGAACUAUAAUCUAAAAACAAGCUAAAGCUGUUCUUCCUACGCUAGUCAUAGCAAACAUAGCUCGUAAACUUCAGUUUUUUUUUUUUUUUGCAACUCAUCAAAUAGCUAACAGUUCACAUAAAGAUUCAAAAAGCGGUACCAUUCAAGCUUCGAACUAGAAUCUAAAAACAAGUUAAAUCUGUUCUUCCUACGUAAAUCUUAGCAGUCUUAGCUCGUAAGCUUCAUCUGUAUUUUUAAGCAAAACAACUAACCUUAGCAUAGAUCGAAACUAUGCAAAUUCAGAUCCAAUCAAAUACCAGAUUCAAACUUCAAAAUAAAGCAAAGUUACAAAACAGAGUCGAAGCUUACCGAACACGGUGUUAAUCGGGUUCAUUGCAACCUGGUUCUUUGCUGCAUCUCCGAUCAAACGCUCGGUAUCAGUAAAACCAACAUAAGACGGCGUCGUUCUGUUACCUUGAUCGUUAGCGAUGAUUUCAACACGGUCAUGUUGCCAAACACCGACGCAAGAAUAAGUUGUACCGAGAUCGAUACCGAUAGCUGGACCUUCUCCUUUACCGGCCAUUACUAACUAUUUGUUGUGUAGACGAAAAGAAUGUAAAGAACAAAGAAGAAAAAUAACGAAAACUGAGAAACAGCUACGAACGGCUAGGGUUUCAAGUUGAAGCAUACGAAGCAAAGAGUUCGUUUAUAUAGAGUUUUUUAAAAAAGAAAAUUGAUUUCUAGAAUGUUCUAAUCCCUGGAGAUUUGGAACCGUCGGAUGUCGGAAAUUGUUUUAACGGUUACAGAUCCAUUUUAGCCUUUCAUGUCUGAAUCGGAAAUUUUCAUUUAGGUGUCCAUGGUUCGAGCUGAAUCGAUAUUCAAUUUUUUUUAAAAGUUAAACUCGAGCUCGAGUUUAACUCAGUCCAAUUCACUAAAAGAAUUAAUAUCAUUGUUUAAAAAUAAUCAUAAAAUUUUAUAUUAAUAUUUAUAAAAUAAAUUAUUAUUCAAUCUCAACUCGAGAUCUACUGAAAAAAUCACCUCAACCAUGAAUAGAUAUAAUAGUUAUAUAAAAUGUGUUUAAGUUGAGUAAAUAUAAUGGAGGCCAUUGUAUCAAGGGUCGAAUUAUACGUUAAGUAAAGAAUAAAAUAAUUUUUUUAUUAAAAUUUUUAUCAAAUUUUAUUAUUAAAAAUUGAUCUUACACAUCAACGUAUGAUUUCAAUACGCUAUGUGUGAUUAUAUAAUUAUUACGUGAAAACUUUGAAGUAAGUUCGAGAUGGUUGAACUCGAUUACAUUUUUUUCGAAACUAACCAAUAAUGGUCGCCACGUCAUGGAGGGACAGAUAUCUGAUGGGAUAUGGACCAUACGUUUGAGAUCUAACGUUUCUGAUUGGGAGAAGAAAAUGGCGAAUGCGAAGAAUCUUGUUACGGCUGUUUCUCAUUGGACGGUCAACAUCUAGGAAGAUUCAUUCUAUGUGAGGAAAAAUAAAAGGUUAAAACUCGAAGACCCUUUUGGUCUUUUCCGUUGUCUGCUUUCACCUUUUGUCUGUGUUGGGCUCGAGUAACGCGCAAGUUGGAUAGUGAAAAGACGUAAAAGGACACUUAUGCAAGUGCCUGGAUGCACAAAUGAAAUUGAUUAUAUAUGGUCAAAUUAUACAAUAGUCCCUGUACUAUGCCUAACUUAUAGUAUUAGUCAUUAUACUUUAAUUUAAUCAAAUUUACAACAUAUACAAGUAUAAAGACUAAUAACAUAAUUUAACUUUGGGUAAACUACACCCAUGGUCACUUUUGUAUACCUUAGGUUACGUUUUAGUCACUUAUGUUUAAAAUGUUACGUUUUAGUCAUUUACGUUAUCAUGUUGUAACAUUUUAGUCACUGAGCCAUUAAUCGUCGUUAAUGGUGUAACGGUAAGCUGACGUGGCACGUUAAAUCAUCAUUUCAAACAAAAUUUUAGGUUAAAUUAUACAAUUGAUCCCCAUAUUUUUUUCGUUUUAAGUAAUUUGAUUUUUUUUCUUUUAUGUUCUUUAAACUUUCCUCUUUUUUUCCAUUCUUUUUUGUUUCUCCCUCUGUUUUCAUUCAUUUCCCAUUUCUUUUAACAUGUUAAGAAGUCGAAUUGGCAAUGAAAAUAGAAGUAGGAAGUCGACUGUCAUCAUUUGCCUAUAAUCAAAACCCAUAAACCCAUACCAUGCUUCUUUUUUCAGUACCAAUUCGACUUCCUGGUAUGUUAAAAGAAAUAAAGAAGGUAGAAAAACAGAGGGAGAAGUAGAAGAGAAUGGAAAAAAAAAGGAAAAAAAAAAGAAAGAAAGUUAAAAGAACAUAAAAAAAUUAAAUUGCUCAAAACGAAAAAUUAUGAGGACCAAUUGUAUAAUUUAACCUAAAUUUUUUGUUUGAAAUAAUGAUUUAACGUGCCACGUCAGCUUACCAUUACACCAUUAACGAUAAUUAACGGCUCAGUGACUAAAAUGUUACAACACGAUAACGUAAGUGACUAAAAUGUAACAUUUCAAACAUAAGUGACUGAAAUGUAACCUAAGGUAAACAAAAGUGACCAUGGGUGUAGUUUACCCUUUAACUUUUUAUUAUUGCCUUCUUUUACUUUUUUCUAUGUCGUGCUCGACGAACACGCAAGUUGUUGGUGUGAAAAGACGUAAAAGAACACUUGUGCACGUGCCUUGCACAAAGAAAAAUGAUAGAAUAAGCUAAUAAUUAUAUUUACAUGGUCAUUAUGUAAAUAAAUAAUUACAUAUCAAGUAAUCUAAUCAAUUUAUAAUUUUAUACUAAUUAAUUAGUUUUAGUUAAUUACUUAAUUUUUUUUGGUAAUAAAAUAAAUAAAAUAUCAUAUUAAAUUGUGGUAUGUAAAUCAAUUAAGUGCGAGUAAGUGUGAGUUUGGAUGGACGCAGUGAUGUAGUGCAGUGCGGUUAGUUUACUUUUUAUCUCAUGCUACAGUAUAUAGUCUCAUCGCCACUGUUAUUUUUAUACUAACCGCAGGUAAACACACCGCCCAUCCAAACUCACACUAAAUCUUGCAUAAAAGGAACUUCACAUCCCGCAGCAAAGGUUCGAAGGACGUCUCCAUACGAAUGGGUUGGUUUCGCCAAGAAGCCAGUUAUUGUAUUCGCUUCAUGAUAAACAUGUUUGAAGUUAACAGUCCACUCUCAACAGCAAAACUUGACAGUCUGUCUAAAUAUGUCCACUUCAGUCCCUCCACUUACAAUUCCCUCAUUGUUAGUUUCCACUAUUAUCUUCUUAUGAUCCAAAGACCAAGCUAAAAACAAUCCAUUCAAAAUGGCCCAAACCUUUGCAAUACCUACGAUAUUAGUCUCUAAACUUUUUAAUAGUACACCGGCAAUGUACCAGAUACUAACCCUAUAUAUAUUUUAUACUUGAUAAAUGGGUAUACCCUUUUUUUGGUUUUUUUAAUCAAAUAUAAUAUCUCAUUUCAUUCAAAAGAGGGAGGUUCAAAAUCAAACCAUUACUACAUCCCAACCCAACCGAGAAGAGAAACAAAAAAAAUCACUAUAGACCACCAAAUGAGUAUUGAUUAACCUUUCUAAUAGUGGAUUUGGGAGAGGGAUCAUCACCAUGCAAUGAGGAGCCCAUUCAUGUAUAGAGGUGCUAGUGAGUUGUAUAAAUGCGUAUGAUCUCAUCUACCUCACGGGUCCCUCAAUUCUAUUGACUAAUGGACUCGAAAAGCCAAUGACGAAGAUAACAACAAGCACAAUCACAAGAGAGUUGAAAUCUCGAUAAGACUCAAUAGAUCAAAGUCACCUAAUAUUUAGAGAAUCGAACCCCAGGAGACUCGAAGGAUACAACCAUCCUAGGCAAAGGAUAAAUUUAUUAAUUCGGUCAGACCUCAUCCUAUGGACAAAGCCUAAGAUAAAAAAAGGAUCGAUGAUCAGUUGUUCCACGACCAAACAUCCAAUCACCGUAACAACACUUAAACUAGAGACUUAGAUGGUUUUGUGCGUGGUGGAUGUGCACAAAGGGUGGUUGAGUGCAUGGAACCUAUUUGAGCAAAGGCUCGAGCAAUUAUAGGUGGGUUGUGUUUGACACAUUCCAUGGGCUUCCAUCAUGUCAUGCUUGAGAGUGGUGCUGUCUCGAUUGUUAAUAAACUUCAUUUUAAUAGUAUUGAUUUGUCUAUUCCGAGUCAAUUGUUAUUAGAAGUCCAAAGUUUGGAUGUUUGAUUUGAUUCAUUUAUUUUUUCUUACGUAACUCGUUCGUUCAAUAAAAUCGUAGAUUGUCUCAGUCAUGUGGGCAUAGAAUAUGACCAUACUCUCACAUCUAGACUAAAUCAUAUGUCCUCUAUUCAUGGUAUGGUGGUUAAUGAUGAUUCUAAUUAUGAAUGAAUGGCCCAUUAAGAAUAUCAGAGAUAGGUCUGUCCCUCCAUGUUGCAGGUUGAAAGAAUGAAAUUCACAUAUCUGCCUAAGUUAAAUUAUGCAUCAAGUUGUCAUCUUGGAUGCAAAUUGUAAUAGCAUUUGAAUCAAACUCAUUCCCCAACAAGGCCCAUUUUAGUUCAAUUAAUAAAGUAUGUUUGAAGUAGCAAAUGGGCUGAAUGGUGGGUUGGUUGCCCCACAAUAAGCUUAAGUCAUAUGCUAAAGAUUUGGGGUUAAGAUUUAGAGAAUAUGCCAGCUCUCUAUACUUAGCAGAAACAGAUUAAAUUCUUAGUUGAAUAUGAUGUUCAUAUUAAUGUAUAAUUGCUUUAAUGGUAAAAUUCUCAAAUAAAUGCAUUUAGAAUAAUGAAUUACUAUAUGAUAAAUUAUGCAAAUUAUGACUUCAAAUCACGUUAAUUACAUCUUCAAAUUAUCGAUGUUAUAAUAAUUAAAUUCUUCCAUUACUAAACCGAUAAUUUAAUUGUUAAAUGACACAUAAGAUUUUAUGUGAUAUAAUGUGAAAUGAAAAUUUUAAUAUAAAAUAAAUAUAAUAAAAAAUUAGUUUUGAGGUUUUCGAAACUUUUAAAAAAGUUUUAUCGUUCUUUCUUUUUUUUUUUCAAUUUUACUUUAUAACAAUGUUCUUUUUUUUCUUAAAAAAAAUCGUUUUAAAUUUAGCUACAUAAGAAUUGGCGUGUCAUUUAAUGGUUAAAUUAAUAAUUUUAAUAACAAAAGGACCUGAUUGAUUUAAUAUCGAUAAUUUAGGGAUGUGAUUAAAAUAUUUUAAAGUUUUGAGGCUAAUUUAGAAUGAGAGUUGUAAUUUGAUAAUGUUUAGAUAAUACAGAAUAUCGAAAAUAAUUAAAACUUAUCAUGUAAAAAAAAACAUAAAUAAUAAUAUGUUAAAAUUUAUGUAAAACAAAUUAUUAAAGUGUAAAUAGAGACAAAUUCGGUGGGAGAAAGUAGGCCAAACUAUACUUUUACGACUACUAAAAAUUAGUUGAUUCAGUCUUAACUUGAUUGAUAUGGAUAUUGUUACCAAUGUAGGAGUAUAUGAGUUUGAGUGCGCUAAAAUGCAUUAUUCUCCUAUUUAUGAGUUGGAAGGGACUAUGGAUAGUUCUAGAAAAAAUACUAAUAAAAAUUAAUAAUUUAAGUUAAAAAUUUUUAAGGUAUUUUUUAAACAUUUUUUCUAAAGGAAUUAUUUAAGUUUUUUAACAUAAAAUUUUUAAUUUUGACCUUUAUAAAAUUUUAUACUUUUAUCUUGAUUUUUCAACACAAAAUUCCUGAUUUCUUCUAAGCGUAAAGGAUUAUCUAAACAUAAUAUUUAUAUUAAUAUAUGUUUGGUAUGAUUACAUUUUUUGAAUUAAAAUUACAUUAUUACGAUAAUCACUCAAAUAUAUAAAAUGAAUUGAAACAUUACAUAGAAAAAAAAAGUUAUUUGGAAUUUAAGUCAUUCAAACCUUAAACUUGAACUUGAACCCUAAACUUUAAACCCGAACCCUUAAACCUAAAAUCUCGAAUCUGUUCAGGGUUCAAGAUUUUGAGUUUAAGGUUUGGGGUAUUUUUUUUUAAAUUAUGUGUUAAUGACAUGAAAAAUUGCCGAAAUGUUAAAUAUAAUUCAGAAUAAACCAUGAAUGAUGUACUGAGAAAUGUCCAUAAAAUAAUUUCUUUAUUCUGAACACAUUAAUUUGCUCUUUUCUUUAAUUUCUUAUCCAAAGAAAAAAAAAGCAAUUUUCCUAAAUAGCCCUCUCUUUUUAAUACCCAAACUUGACCAGAGUAAGUGCAUCCAAAAUUGAAAUCGAGUUUUCUCCUCUUUUUCUCGAUAACUUUUUUUUAUACAACCUCCAAUUCCUAAAGUAAGGAUAUAACGCGUUUGAAUCUGUAUAUUCUAAAUGUUGCAACAACAAUGAUAUUAACUAAGUUAAAACACAAUUAACCUAUUGCAAGCUAACUUGUUUGUUAAAAAAGAAAACGGAAUCGUUUCACCAUGAAAAUUGAUGUGCUCUUGUAUGUUUAUAAGAUUCUUUUGACUACCACCAUUCGAUUGUGUUCUUUUUCAUAUUUUAUCUAUGAUACCAAAUUGUAAUCGUAUUUUUUAUAUCGUAUCUAAAAUUAUCGGAUAUAACAAGUUUGGAAGUCGUAUUUUACUUUCUUAUUUUAUAAUUCAUUGAAGAAUACAUUGGAAAUAUAUUAGGUACAUCACCUGUUUGUGUAUCAAAUUUGAGGCUUACAUUCCAAGUGAUA